rnacentral:rRNA from 1 species
AUGCCUGAAUAGGGUGAAGCCAGAGGAAACUCUGGUGGAGGCUCGUAGCGAUUCUGACGUGCAAAUCGAUCGUCAAAUUUGGGUAU